GAUGAAGAACGCAGCGAAAUGCGAUAAGUAAUGUGAAUUGCAGAAUUCAGUGAAUCAUCGAGUCUUUGAACGCACAUUGCGCCCCCUGGUAUUCCGGGGGGCAUGCCUGUCCGAGCGUCAUUGCUGCCCUCAAGCACGGCUUGUGUGUUGGGCUCUCGCCCCCCGCUUCCGGGGGGCGGGCCCGAUAGGCAGCGGCGGCACCGCGUCCGGUCCUCGAGCGUAUGGGGCUUCGUCACCCGCUCUGUAGGCCCGGCCGGCGCCCGCCGGCGAACACCAUCAAUCUUAACCAGGUUGACCUCGGAUCAGGUAGGGAUACCCGCUGAACUUAAGCAUAUCAAUAAGCGGAGGA
rnacentral:misc_RNA from 1 species